CCUUCGAUAGCUCAGCUGGAAGAGCGCGGGACUGUAACGGCUGCCAAACGCAUUCGAAAUGCAUAUCAAUCCCGAGGUCGCUGGAUCAACGCCGGCUCGAAGGA